GAUGAACGCUGGCGGCGUGCCUAAUACAUGCAAGUCGAGCGAACAGACGAGGAGCUUGCUCCUCUGACGUUAGCGGCGGACGGGUGAGUAACACGUGGAUAACCUACCUAUAAGACUGGGAUAACUUCGGGAAACCGGAGCUAAUACCGGAUAAUAUAUUGAACCGCAUGGUUCAAUAGUGAAAGACGGUUUUGCUGUCACUUAUAGAUGGAUCCGCGCCGCAUUAGCUAGUUGGUAAGGUAACGGCUUACCAAGGCAACGAUGCGUAGCCGACCUGAGAGGGUGAUCGGCCACACUGGAACUGAGACACGGGCCAGACUCCUACGGGAGGCAGCAGUAGGGAAUCUUCCGCAAUGGGCGAAAGCCUGACGGAGCAACGCCGCGUGAGUGAUGAAGGUCUUCGGAUCGUAAAACUCUGUUAUUAGGGAAGAACAAAUGUGUAAGUAACUAUGCACGUCUUGACGGUACCGAAUCAGAAAGCCACGGCUAACUACGU
rnacentral:rRNA from 1 species